rnacentral:rRNA from 1 species
AGUGAUUAGAGUUUGAUCCUGGCUCAGGACGAACGCUGGCGGCGCGUCUAAGACAUGCUAGUCGAACGAUAACGUUCCCUUCGGGGAAUUAUUAAAGUGGCGAACCGGUGAGUAACACGUAUCUAACGUACCCUUAUGUCUGGGAUAGCAGACCGAAAGGCCUGGUAAUACCGGAUAAGCCGGGAGAGUCUCCGGACUCUUUCAGGAAAGCCUUCGGGCGCUUUUGGAUCGAGGUGCGGCCUAUUAGCUUGUUGGUGGGGUAACGGCCUACCAAGGCGAUGAUGGGUAGCUGGUCUGAGAGGAUGGUCAGUCACACUGGGACUGAGAUAAGGCCCAGACUCCUACGGGAGGCAGCAGUUAAGAAUCUUGCACAAUUAGCGAAAGCUAGAUGCAGCGACGCCGCGUGAAGGAUGAAGGCCCUNGGGUCGUAAACUUCUGUUCUGGGGGAAGAUANG